CCUGAUAUUGAGUGGAAAUCAAGAGUUGGGAUGCUUAACUGACUGGGCCACCCAGGCACCCCUACCUUGAUUCCUUUUGAGAGAAAACUUCCACCUUGAACAAGCCAGAAAGAACAUUUGGCGUUUUCCCUCACACACAGCUGAAUGGAAGUCAGGAUGAUCUACUAGUUUUACCUCCAUGCGGACAUGAGGGGAACUGCUUACCCAUACUUACUGCCAGCAUGAGCCAGGAUCAAACAUGCUUCUGAUGCCUCAGGUCCAGGUUCCAAUCCCCACCUAAGGGCCUUGAGAAACACGCAGGGGUUUGUACAAAAAGUAGUUCACAGAAGGCCUGGCUUUCCUUAAACCACUCAGGAUUUUUUGUGGUGGUCAGAACUGCUAAUUUAAGAGAGAGAAUGAGUCUCUCCUUUCACUUCAUUCCUGAGUUUGGAGUCUCCCCCCAAUUCCCACAUUCCCCCUUUGGAAUCCAUAACCAACUCUGCUUCCCCUGUGGUUAUUGGGAAGUGAUCCGGCUCUGUGCUUUACAAGAAAUACUGGAUAAUGCUGGACUAGAAAUCUCGAUUUAGACAAAAUACCACAUCUCCUUUGGAAGCAAAAUGUCGCAUUAGAUCAUGGCAAACUCCAACCAAGAAAGUCCUCACCUCUCCGCUUCCAGCAUAUUUAUUAUGCAUAGUAUUCAUUUCACUGCCAAUUUCCCAGAUGACUCUGGGUCAGGGAAAGCUUCCACUCUCAUGCCAGUUUCCCCUGAGCUUGACCUCCCUCCACCCAACUCCCAAAGCUCCCAACUCUUGUGGCCCAUGUCCCAAACUUCUGGCAUACCCAACAUUCUGUUUCUGGCAUCUUCUUCUUCCUUCUGCUCCCGCUACACACUCACCCUUGGGGCAUCCUUUCUCUCGUGACUCACGUAUGUGACCUCACAUCAACUCAAGACGAUUCAGACACAACUCUCCUUUUCAGCCCCUACAUCUAUCAGGGUAAAUGUCAGCACAGUCUGCUUUUAGUCCAACUGUAAAAGAAGAAUCUGUGUACUUUUAAAGAAUACAAGAAAGAACUGACUACAGUUCAAAUUCACAACUGCCUGCCAAAUUCCUGGCAAAUGGUGGGUGUGCACGGGAAGAAAGGUCAAGACCACACAAAGUGUAGUCUGUUUAUUUACAAAAGCUGUUAAAAUAAAAAUUGAGUACUCUGGG